GAUGAAGAACGUAGCGAAAUGCGAUAAGUAAUGUGAAUUGCAGAAUUCAGUGAAUCAUCGAAUCUUUGAACGCACAUUGCGCCCCCUGGUAUUCCGGGGGGCAUGCCUGUCCGAGCGUCAUUACAACCCUCAAGCUCAGCUUGGUAUUGGGCCCCGCCGCUCCGGCGGGCCCUAAAGUCAGUGGCGGUGCCGUCCGGCUCCGAGCGUAGUAAUUCUUCUCGCUCUGGAGGUCCGGUCGUGUGCUCGCCAGCAACCCCCAAUUUUUUUCAGGUUGACCUCGGAUCAGGUAGGGAUACCCGCUGAACUUAAGCAUAUCAAAUAAGCGGAGGA
rnacentral:misc_RNA from 1 species